CAUACAGGAAGAAGGUUAAUUGCCUGGGAUGGUAAGCAGCAAGCAGGGAUGCCUUGAUGUGGAAGCAGCAUAAGGCAGCCAGCUGCCAUCAGGCGUGACCCCACACUCAGAUUUUAGGAAAUGUGGAAACAUUUACGUUUCUUGCAGAGCCAAUUUGCUGCUUGUCUGGAAUGUGUAGAAAAAGGAAGACAAAAUGAAAACAUCCCUCAUGGAAGUGACCAGAGGCUUUUUGCACCAUUCAACAAAUCUUUGAUGACCUGAUAUUAGGGAGAAACAAGCAAAUGUGUCUGAGGAAUCGGAUGACAUAAUUAAUAAAGUGCCAUAAAGAAUGU